CGUAGGGUGCGAGCGUUAAUCGGAAUUACUGGGCGUAAAGUGUGCGCAGGCGGCCGAGCAAGUCGAGUGUGAAAGCCCCGAGCUUAACUUGGGAACUGCGCUCGAAACUACUUGGCUGGAGUGUGGCAGAGGAAGGUGGAAUUCCACGUGUAGCGGUGAAAUGCGUAGAGAUGUGGAGGAACACCGAUGGCGAAGGCAGCCUUCUGGGCCAACACUGACGCUCAUGCACGAAAGCGUGGGGAGCAAACAGGAUUAGAUACCCUGGUAGUCCACGCCCUAAACGAUGAUGACUAGUUGUUGGAGGAGUUAAAUCCUUUAGUAACGCAGCUAACGCGUGAAGUCAUCCGCCUGGGGAGUACGGUCGCAAGAUUA
rnacentral:rRNA from 1 species